rnacentral:lncRNA from 10 species
GGGCAAGGUGAGCCCCUGGCACCAGCUCUUCCCUGCAGGGUGUGCAGGACCUUUGUGGAAGCCACAGAUUUGGCUGUUUUAAGAACAAAGAGCUGGCUUUUUAAUUAUGCAGCCCAGACAGGCUCCCCGCAGGUGGGUGGAGAGGGAGCUCCCCAGGGCUGCCUAGCAGACGCCCUGAUUUCCACUCCUUGAAGUGGCCACUUGGAGAAGGAACCAGCAAGCAAUCAAGCAUGAAGGACAGAAAAACUCUCCAGGUGAGGACAAUCACUCUGCCCAGUGGGGAUGCAGGGUGUGGGGGGCUCUGCGGACAGCAGGGUGUGCCCAGGGCCUCCAGCUUGCAGUGCAGAAGCUGGGCUCCCAUGCUGGGCUCGGGUGGGGGAGGCAGGUGGAGAGGAACCCAGACAGGGCUUUGCAGCCAGGUUGGUUCUCAGAGUUGGAGUCUGGACUUCCUUGCUAACUUGCUCUCUGACCACAGGUGAGUCAUUUAAUCUCACUAAGCUUCAGUUUCAUCAACUGCAAAAUGGAGAUGACAAUUCCUCUUUCCUGUAAGGAGUGAAGGGAAUGAUGGCUGUCACGUACCGGGCACAGAGUGGGAAUCCCAAACAAGAAUGGGAGCUAACCUUGAUGAGGCACGCCCUACUCGAUGCAUGCCUGGCUCUGUGUUAAAUUCCUUGCAGUCACACAGCCAUUUAUUCUUCAAAUUGUAAUGCCGUGUGGCAGCUGGUGUUUUGCUGAAAUGAAAUCACAGCUUGCAAUGGGCAUUUGGCUCCCAUUCUUCUGAGCGUGGUGCUCCCACGCUGCUGGCUUCGUGUGGUGACUCACGGCCCACUCACGUCUCUAUGUUUGAAUGAGCAACCGGGAAAUCCUCCUCCAUAUGGUGCGUUCUGCCAGCAUUUGGACUUCACACGGUGUGAGCGCAUGAUUGGGUUUGGAAUGGGGAUAAUAUUUUGAAAAUAAUAAAUGGAUAUAUUCUUUAUUCUUCUCCAGGAAACCACGUGCCCCUGUCUAGUUCCAUGGAUUUCAUGGGGCAGGAGGAAGUUGGGAUGUAGGGGAAGUUCUGGCAGACAGGACGAGGAGGCAGACAGAUCACCUCUUCAGGACCGCAGGGGAUUGUCAGCAAGAGAAAAAGGGAGACAAAUUCAGGGGGGCGCUGGGAGGCCAGGUGGGCGUGUCUUCACCUUCCCUCUUACGGGUGAGGAUGUUGUAGAGAUGCCCAGUUGAAAAGGCCCCUGGGAGCCCUGGAAGAUGGUGGCGCAUAAACCUCGAAGAGAGGCAUCCACAGCCCUCCCUGAACCAGGUGAGUGUGCAGAGUUCAAAAGUCUCCAUGGGCGUUCAGGAACACGUACAGAGGCUGCAGUCAGGAGGAGGAGGCUGCUUCGAGCCUGGACAUUUGCAACUGGAGUGAUGGGGGCAGGGGUCACCCUUCGCCUAGAAAAGCCCAGGCACAGCCCCACAGUCACCUGUCCAGGAAGCAGCCCAGGCCAGCCCCUCUGCAGCAGAGACCUGUGAGAACCCAGAAGAUGCCGUGUGGCCUGAGCCCAGCUCCCCUGCACCAGGCUACAGAUAUCUGCUCAGGGGUGCCUGCGGGUGCUUCUUACAGGGAGCAGCCCAGGAAGAUGCCUCAAUGACUAAGGGUCUAUCUACAAGACCCAGAGUCACCCAAAAGACUCUGGUCAAACCAGAAGAGGCUGCAAUGCCAUCAAUCCACAAAUUCAGGGUUUUUAUUCCUCUCCCCCCUCACACCCAGUGAGGCAGGGACUCUGGACAGUUAUAUGAAAUAAAAU